UUUGUUCCUGAGGACAGUGCCUGCAGGCAGGAUGGCUCUGUGUGCUGGGUUUGUCAGCUUGCCCGCAGAUGAGUUGGAAAGUCCUGUCUGUUCCCAUCAUUCAGCGAAUGAUGUUCGCCUACUGUGUGUGGAGGCUUCAGGCUUCGCUACUGUGUUAGUGUUCCUGUGGGGCUCUGAAAUGAUCCGGGUCUCCCUUGCCCUUACAGCCGUGCCUAGCCCGGCAUCCAUCACGUUCCACCCACCACCCCCUUCUGGAUGGAAAGAUCAGUGAGCCUCGUAGUAAGUCCCACAAGCAAAGCCCUGGGUUGGCCUGGGUGAGAAGAGCAGUUGGGCUUUGCAGGAGGAGAGCAGGCCACAGAGGAGUGGGGAGCUUGACCUCGUAAUGCUUCUGCUGGUUUUCCUCAAAGGAUUUUCAAAAAAAUUGUAGACAAUAACCUUGAAAAUGUACAAUAAGCGUAUCUGGUGUUGGCUGGG